rnacentral:rRNA from 1 species
CAGAUAUCAGGAGGGAACACCGGGUGGGCGAAGGCGGUUCUCUGGACAUUUCCUGGACGCUGGGAAGCGAAAAGCGUGGGUAGCAAACAGGCUUAGAUACCCUGGUAGUCCACGCCGUAAACGGUGGGUACUAGGUGUGGGGGACAUUCCACGUUCUCCGUGCCGUAGCUAACGCAUUAAGUACCCCGCCUGGGGGAGUACGGCCGCAAGGCUAAAACUCAAAGGAAUUGACGGGGCCCCGCACAAGCGGCGGAGCAUGCGGGAUUAAUUCGAUGCAACGCGAAGAACCUUACCUGGGGUUUGACAUAGCCGGAAAGGCCUAGAGAUAGGUCCCCCCUUGGGGGUCGGGUUUACAGGGUGUGCAUGCUGUCGUCAGCUCGUGUCGGAGAUGUUGGUUAAGUCCCGCAACGGGGCGCAACCCUCGUCCUAUGUUGCCAGCGAUAAGCCGGGGACUCAUAGGGGACUGCCGGGGUCAACUCGAGGAAGGCGGGGAUGACGUCAGGUCUUCAUGCCCCUUAGUCCAGGGGCUUCACGCAGCUACAAUGCCGGUACAAAGGGCUGCAAACUGCAAGGUAAGCGAAUCCCAAAAGCCGUCUCAGUUCGGAUUGGGUCUGCAACUCGACCCCAUGAAGUCGCAGUCGCUAGUAAUCGCAGAUCAGCAACGCUGCGGUGAAUACGUUCCCGGGGCUUGUACACACCGCCCGUCAAGUCAU